UACGGAGGGUGCAAGCGUUGUUCGGAAUUAUUGGGCGUAAAGGGCAGGUAGGUGGUCUUGAAAGUCUACUGUGAAAUCCCCGGGCUCAACCCGGGAAGUGCGGUAGAUACUCCAAGACUAGAGUACUGGAGGGGUUCGUGGAAUUCCCGGUGUAGCGGUGAAAUGCGUAGAUAUCGGGAAGAACACCUAUGGCGAAGGCAGCUCUCUGGGACGGUACUGACGCUGAGACGCGAAAGCGUGGGGAGCGAACAGG
rnacentral:rRNA from 1 species